rnacentral:rRNA from 1 species
AACGAACGCUGGCGGCAUGCCUAACACAUGCAAGUCGAACGAGACCUUCGGGUCUAGUGGCGCACGGGUGCGUAACGCGUGGGAAUCUACCCUCAGGUUCGGAAUAACUCAGAGAAAUUUGAGCUAAUACCGGAUGAUGACGUAAGUCCAAAGAUUUAUCGCCUGAGGAUGAGCCCGCGUAGGAUUAGGUAGUUGGUGAGGUAAAGGCUCACCAAGCCGACGAUCCUUAGCUGGUCUGAGAGGAUGAGCAGCCACACUGGGACUGAGACACGGCCCAGACUCCUACGGGAGGCAGCAGUGGGGAAUAUUGGACAAUGGGCGAAAGCCUGAUCCAGCAAUGCCGCGUGAGUGAUGAAGGCCUUAGGGUUGUAAAGCUCUUUUACCCGGGAUGAUAAUGACAGUACCGGGAGAAUAAGCUCCGGCUAACUCCGUG